GACGUAGGGCGCGAGCGUUGUCCGGAUUUAUUGGGCGUAAAGAGCUCGUAGGCGGCUUGUCGCGUCGACCGUGAAAACUUGGGGCUCAACCCCAAGCCUGCGGUCGAUACGGGCAGGCUCGAGUUCGGUAGGGGAGACUGGAAUUCCUGGUGUAGCGGUGAAAUGCGCAGAUAUCAGGAGGAACACCGAUGGCGAAGGCAGGUCUCUGGGCCGAUACUGACACUGAGGGACGAAAGCUAGGGGAGCGAAUGGG
rnacentral:rRNA from 1 species